CAGUUAGACUUUCUUCAGCAAAGAUGGCGGACAGAAAUACUAGGAGAGAGGGGUAACCCUACACAGAACUGAACUGAAUCAAAGAUGGCGGACAGAAAUACUAGGAGAGAGGGGAACCCCUACACAGAACUGAACUGAAUCAAAGAUGGCGGACAGAAAUACUAGGAUGGAAGCAAAUGUAAGGGAUUAUAACGUCAUAACUAAUCAUGCAAAAACAUGUACAGUUGACAGGAAUGUUAGUUAAUGUAGAGACAAACGAUUAUGUUUUUUUUUUAUCAUAAAGUUAAUUCAUGAAAAUCGCGAUUUAGCCAGCUAGCUGACUAGCUAACAUUAGCCAGCUAGCUGACCCAGCUAACAUUAGCCAGCUAGCUGACUAGCUAACAUUAGCCAGCUAGCUGACUAGCUAACAUUAGCCAGCUAGCUGACUAGCUAACAUUAGCCAGCUAGCCUGUUAUGGCUGCAAGCUGAAUAUUGAAAAAACUGGAAAAUGUGUGCACAUUUUCAAACGGCCUCCUAAGAAACUUUUUAUUUUCCAAUAUGCAUAUAUUUACUACUGUUGGAUAGAUAACAGUCUGUAGUUUCUAAAAAGGUUUGAAUUGUUUCUCUAAGUCGAACAGAAAUAUUUUUACAGCCAUUUUCCCAGCCGAAUUGAGUUUUCCAAAAUGCGAUGUGUCUCUUUAAGACCUUCUCUAUAAAAGGCCCUUUGACUUAGGACCAUAGGGACACGUCACAGGCGUUCGUCAGACUGUAAUGCGGAAGUGAGAAUUGAAAGGAGUCGAAUAUCUCGUCCAUGGACUGAAUAACACACCUUCUUGUGAGACCUGACCAGUUAAAAAAAAAUUCCGGGCGCGAAGGAUAAUUUGGUCUCGGCUUCUGGAACAAGAUGUGAAACGACGGAAGAAUUUUUUGAAGAAACGCUGUGUAGCGCCGCAAUGCUAUCGUGCCUGCUAACCAAAGAGGGAAAUAAUUCGUUCUGGAACCCAACUAAAGACUCUACUGGACAUUGGACCCCGUUACAACAUUCUGAUGGAAUAUCAAGAAAGAUAAGACCCAAUUUGGGAUGCUUUUUCAUAUAUCUGUCGAACUGUUGUAUGCUAACUCUGCUAACUGUGCUAGGCUAGCGCUUGACUAGAAUCAAUGCUGCCUUAUGCUAGCUUAUGUUGUUAGCUAAUAUAACGAUAUAUUGUGUUUUCGCUGUAAAACACUUCAAAAAUCGGAAAUGUUGGCUUUAUUCACACGAUAUCUGUCUUUCAUUAGUUAUCCACCAUAUGUUUUUCUGAAAUGUUUUAUGAGGUGUAAUUAGUAGCCGACGUUGGUGUAUGUAUUUUCUCUGGCUACUCCCGGCUGGAUUCAGACUCUAGCUAUGUAUUAGCAUUUUUGGGUAGCAUCAAUGUAAAACUGAUUUAUAGCUAAAAUAUGCACUUUUUAUGAACAAAACAUAGAUUUAUUGUGUAACAUGUUAUAUGACUGUCAUCUGAGGUAGUUUUCUGGGCUCUUUAGGUUGGUUUUAGUUUAUUUCGGUUGGCUUGUGCAUGCUACUUCAAUCAUAAUUCAUACUUCAUAAUCAUAUUCAUACGUGUCUGUCCACUUUUGUAUUUGGUGGUGAGCUAACAUAAAUAUAUGUGGUGUUUUCUCUGUAAAACAUUUAAAAAAUCGGACAUGUUGGCUGGAUUGACAAGAUGUUUAUCUUUCAAAUGCUGUAUUGGACUUGUUAAUGUGUAAAAGUUAAAUAUUUUUAAAAAAUAGAUUUUGAAUUUCGCGCCCUGCAGCUGUUGUCAUUUUCGGCCGAUUUCGGGCUUGCAGCCCAAACAGGCUAGCUGACUAGCUAACAUUAACCAGCUAGCUGACUAGUUAACAUUAGCCAGCUAGCUGACCCAGCUAACAUUAGCCAGCUAGCUGACCCAGCUAACAUUAGCCAGCUAGCUGACUAGCUUUAUGGGUGUUGUGACAUGAGUAUGAAAUUGUAAUUCUGGUUGUUUUAGGGACUCCUGAAACAACCAGCAAACCAGGCGGUUGAUUUGUGAAACAGUGGAUGUAUAAAAUCUAGCUAGCUGAAGAAUUUACUGCAAAUUGAAUGUACAAUUUUGUAAGCUUUCCUUGCUUAUAUUUGCUAUGCAGAUAGAUGAAAUCACGUAGCUAGCUAUGUUCUUUCUUAUUGUGCAGUGGAUGAUUAAAAUCCCUGUAUACCCAUGGAUGUGUAGCUAGCUAUCUAGCCGAUCUGUGUAUGGACUCAAACGUUUGGUAUACAUAUUAGUUCAGAACCUAGCUAUGAACCUCAGCUAUCAUAGCCAGUUGUAUCAACUUCAAAACAGCCUGAAUGACAUUAAUGAAGCCUAUAGAUUGAGUAGAAUAUAAUAUCAUGUUGUGCCAAGGAUGCAAGUCGUAUAUACAUGUAGUUAUUACCAUGCAUGAGAUCCCCACAUUGUAGCCUGUACAUUUAAUAUAUUCACUGAUCAUGUACUCUACCUUGGCAAAUAAAGGUGCAGUUUAGGUA